GACAGCUUCAAACCUUCUUGACAAGUCAAUGUUUAUGAUCAUCAAAGUCUUUAAAAAUGAUUGUGUUCAUUUCAGGGUAAAAUGAUCGUGAACAGAAAGGAGAAAAAGAAUCUCUAUUGGAUAUGAUCUUUAAAACCCAGGAAUGCUCCAACCAGAACAACGUGAUUAAAUUCAGUGACAAUAGCAGUGCCAUCAAAGGAUUCACUGUCACAAAGUUCAAGGCCUCUUCUCCAUCAAAACCCAGUAUCCUUUGCACUGAAAAAGGAAACUGCACCUUAUUUUCACCGCUGAAACACACAAUUUUCCCACUGGUGUUGCUCCUUUCUGUGGUGCCACGACAGGAACCGGUGGUCGCAUUCGUGAUGUACAAGCAGUAGGCAGAGGUGGUUAUACAAUAGCGGGAACUGCAGGAUACUCUGUGGGAAAUUUAUUUAUACCUGGUGAGUAACGCGUUUGAUAAUAUAGAGAAUGUAAUGAAAUUUUUGUUAAUGUAGAAUCACUUGGCUGUUUUAUCCCCUUCAGAAAAUAUUGAAAGGAAGCUCAUCUAUACAGCGUAGUGAAAUACGUACGGUUAACCUCAGGUUGCCGUGUAACUGCAGGUAACUGACUACGUUGUGCAAAUCUGACUCUCAAAAACAGGAUUUUACUGUUCUUUCUGAUCAGUCCUAACAUUACUGAGAAAAGACUAUGUCUAAUCCCACCUGUGUCUACCAUGCAUUUUAUUUGAUAGGUCAAAAACAGCAUGUUAAUCCCAUCAAUUUAAACUCAAGGCUCCACCAAGUGACUUUGGAGUCUUUCAACUAGUUAAGCCUUCCUUCAACUAUGAGGAGGAAAGAUGUAGUCACGUCCCUAUUUUCAUACGAGGGAUAUGGUUGAAAAUUUUGUCAUCAAUGGCAUUUCAGCUUAAAAUAAGGAUGUCAACAGCUAGGAUAAUUGUUUUUAAUGGUGAUAUUAAAGUAUACAUGAAAUUGAAUCUUAUCAGUCCUCAUAUCACAAUUAUUGAUUCACUGAAAUUAAUCCUGUUUUUUUUUCCAUAUGAAUAGAUCUGUAUCAUACUUCAUUCUUAACUUGGUUUCUUGUCAUCUCAUGUCUAAGUCAUGCUUCAAUUUGAAUUCGUGAAUUUAUCUGUU
rnacentral:lncRNA from 1 species